rnacentral:rRNA from 1 species
GACGAACGCUGGCGGCGUGCUUAACACAUGCAAGUCGAACGAAGUGGCGAACGGGUGAGUAAUACGUGGGUAACCUGCCCUCCUUUUUGGGAUAAGCCUUGGAAACGGGGUCUAAUACCGAAUAAAGGGGGAUGGGCUCGCGGCCUAUCAGCUUGUUGGUGGGGUGAUGGCCUACCAAGGCGGUGACGGGUAGCCGGCCUGCGAGGGAGAUCGGCCAGAAUUGGCCUGCGAUACCGCCCAGACUAGUAAGGGGCGGAGAAUUGGGGGAUAUUGAAAAAUGGGCGAAAGUCGGAUGCAGAUAAGCCGUGGGGGGGGUGAAGGGUUUCGGGUUGUAGACAUCUUUCAAGAAUGAACGGGAAGGUCGAGCAGAACCGCCGCCUAACUCCGUGCAAGCCGCCGCGGUAAUUC